rnacentral:rRNA from 1 species
GGUGUGAACCCUCAUUCUCCCCUCUGGGGUUGAAUGGAACUGGCCUCCCACCGCUGUCGGUGGGUUGGCUGAAAUUCGGAGAUUCAAGCUUGGACCUGUAUGGCAACAGCAAGGUAGGUAGCUCGUCUACUCCAGCUGAUGCUUUGGGUACUUGCAAGAAUCCGCAGNAAAANUCNACCUUU